rnacentral:rRNA from 1 species
GAGUUUGAUCAUGGCUCAGGACGAACGCUCGGCGGCGUGCCUAAUACAUGCAAGUAGAACGCUGAAGAGAGGAGCUUGCUCUUCUUGGAUGAGUUGCGAACGGGUGAGUAACGCGUAGGUAACCUGCCUUGUAGCGGGGGAUAACUAUUGGAAACGAUAGCUAAUACCGCAUAACAAUGGAUGACACAUGUCAUUUAUUUGAAAGGGGCAAUUGCUCCACUACAAGAUGGACCUGCGUUGUAUUAGCUAGUAGGUGAGGUAACGGCUCACCUAGGCGACGAUACAUAGCCGACCUGAGAGGGUGAUCGGCCACACUGGGACUGAGACACGGCCCAGACUCCUACGGGAGGCAGCAGUAGGGAAUCUUCGGCAAUGGGGGCAACCCUGACCGAGCAACGCCGCGUGAGUGAAGAAGGUUUUCGGAUCGUAAAGCUCUGUUGUAAGUCAAGAACGAGUGUGAGAGUGGAAAGUUCACACUGUGACGGUAGCUUACCAGAAAGGGACGGCUAACUACGUGCCAGCAGCCGCGGUAAUACGUAGGUCCCGAGCGUUGUCCGGAUUUAUUGGGCGUAAAGCGAGCGCAGGCGGUUUGAUAAGUCUGAAGUUAAAGGCUGUGGCUCAACCAUAGUUCGCUUUGGAAACUGUCAAACUUGAGUGCAGAAGGGGAGAGUGGAAUUCCAUGUGUAGCGGUGAAAUGCGUAGAUAUAUGGAGGAACACCGGUGGCGAAAGCGGCUCUCUGGUCUGUAACUGACGCUGAGGCUCGAAAGCGUGGGGAGCGAACAGGAUUAGAUACCCUGGUAGUCCACGCCGUAAACGAUGAGUGCUAGGUGUUGGAUCCUUUCCGGGAUUCAGUGCCGCAGCUAACGCAUUAAGCACUCCGCCUGGGGAGUACGACCGCAAGGUUGAAACUCAAAGGAAUUGACGGGGGCCCGCACAAGCGGUGGAGCAUGUGGUUUAAUUCGAAGCAACGCGAAGAACCUUACCAGGUCUUGACAUCCCGAUGCUAUUUCUAGAGAUAGAAAGUUACUUCGGUACAUCGGUGACAGGUGGUGCAUGGUUGUCGUCAGCUCGUGUCGUGAGAUGUUGGGUUAAGUCCCGCAACGAGCGCAACCCCUAUUGUUAGUUGCCAUCAUUCAGUUGGGCACUCUAGCGAGACUGCCGGUAAUAAACCGGAGGAAGGUGGGGAUGACGUCAAAUCAUCAUGCCCCUUAUGACCUGGGCUACACACGUGCUACAAUGGUUGGUACAACGAGUUGCGAGUCGGUGACGGCAAGCUAAUCUCUUAAAGCCAAUCUCAGUUCGGAUUGUAGGCUGCAACUCGCCUACAUGAAGUCGGAAUCGCUAGUAAUCGCGGAUCAGCACGCCGCGGUGAAUACGUUCCCGGGCCUUGUACACACCGCCCGUCA